UGGGGGGCAUUAGUACUUAACUGUCAGGGGUGGAAUUCUCAGAUUUGUUAAAGACUGACUUAUGCGAAAGCAUUUGCCAAGGAUGUUUUCAUUAAUCAAGAACGAAAGU
rnacentral:rRNA from 1 species